GACGAACGCUGGCGGCGUGCUUAACACAUGCAAGUCGAACGGAAAGGCCCUGCUUUUGUGGGGUGCUCGAGUGGCGAACGGGUGAGUAACACGUGAGUAACCUGCCCUUGACUUUGGAAUACCUUCGGAAAAUGGGGGCUAUAACCGGUAGGAACCCCUGCCUCCAGGGGGGGGGUGGGAAGUUUCGGCGGUUGGGGAUGGACUCGCGGCUUAUCAGCUUGUUGGUGGGGUAGUGGCUUACCAAGGCUUUGACGGGUAGCCGGCCUGAGAGGGUGACCGGCCACAUUGGGACUGAGAUACGGCCCAGACUCCUACGGGAGGCAGCAGUGGGGAAUAUUGCACAAUGGGCGGAAGCCUGAUGCAGCAACGCCGCGUGCGGGAUGACGGCCUUCGGGUUGUAAACCGCUUUCGCCUGUGACGAAGCGUGAGUGACGGUAAUGGGUAAAGAAGCACCGGCUAACUACGUG
rnacentral:rRNA from 1 species